rnacentral:lncRNA from 1 species
GAGGAAUCCAAGACCAGGGCUUUGGUGUGGCUCUGUCAAUAAUCAGCUGUGCAAACCUCAAGUGACUGCUUGCCCUCUCUGGAUUUUCAGAGCCACUGUGAAUGGAAAUGAACCUUGGGAAUCACUGAAAACCACACAGGGAAAGCCAGGAGGAUGCAGAAAACAAGGCUGCUCCUGUACCCAACUCCAGGUGUUUCUGCUGCUGGACUGCUGUUGCUGAACAGUUCUGCUCCCUCACACUCAGGACUCAAGAGCCACA